rnacentral:rRNA from 1 species
AUUGAACGCUGGCGACAUGCCUUACACAUGCAAGUCGAACGGCAGCACGGGUGCUUGCCCCUGGUGGCGAGUGGCGAACGGGUGAGUAAUACAUCGGAACAUGUCCUGUAGUGGGGGAUAGCCCGGCGAAAGCCGGAUUAAUACCGCAUACGAUCUACGGAUGAAAGCGGGGGACCUUCGGGCCUCGCGCUAUCGGGUUGGCCGAUGGCUGAUUAGCUAGUUGGUGGGGUAAAGGCCUACCAAGGCGACGAUCAGUAGCUGGUCUGAGAGGACGACCAGCCACACUGGGACUGAGACACGGCCCAGACUCCUACGGGAGGCAGCAGUGGGGAAUUUUGGACAAUGGGCGAAAGCCUGAUCCAGCAAUGCCGCGUGUGUGAAGAAGGCCUUCGGGUUGUAAAGCACUUUUGUCCGGAAAGAAAUCCUUGGCCCUAAUACGGUCGGGGGAUGACGGUACCGGAAGAAUAAGCACCGGCUAACUACGUG